rnacentral:misc_RNA from 1 species
ACUGUAUGUUUGUGACGAAACCUGUUCAUUAACGUAGUUUUCGAGAUCUGGGAGGAUGUCUGGAUUGUAGGGAUUGACGGUUACGAGCUGCUCGACUGUGAAGGAGACUUGCUGCUGCAUCUUUUGAGUGUCUCUCUCCCUUCCCAUUUUGCCUUUCGUUUCUAUGAUUCAGAUACUUCUGCUAUUCGUUUGCUUCGAUGCUCUUCGCUUGAAUAUACACUCCUCCGUCCGAAGUCCCAAGCUUUAGCUGCGCGUGCCGGAGAGAGAACUACAAGGGCUUUAGCUUCACUGUGUCACAGGGAUGAUUAG